GGAUGGCUCAGUGGUGAAGAGCACUGGCGGCUCUUCCAGAGGUCCUGAGUUCAAUUCCCAGCGUCCA
rnacentral:tRNA from 1 species